UACGUAGGGUGCAAGCGUUAAUCGGAAUUACUGGGCGUAAAGCGUGCGCAGGCGGUUGUGCAAGACAGAUGUGAAAUCCCCGGGCUCAACCUGGGAACUGCAUUUGUGACUGCACGGCUGGAGUGCGGCAGAGGGGGAUGGAAUUCCGCGUGUAGCAGUGAAAUGCGUAGAUAUGCGGAGGAACACCGAUGGCGAAGGCAGUCCCCUGGACCUGUACUGACGCUCAUGCACGAAAGCGUGGGGAGCAAACAGG
rnacentral:rRNA from 1 species